CUCAAUUGGCUGCUCGGGAAUAAAAGGGCAUUUUUCUUGCUCAUAUAUCGUUGCGAUAACCUAUUGUUUAUCGCACGUUAGAUACAUGGCAUCCAUUAUAAAAUCAGACAGCGAUAAAGAUUAACAAAAAGUCACUGUUACAUGCGUGGAGAGCUAAAAGCUACUAUUUUGAAAAAUCUGAUAAAAUUAAUAAACGCGACAGACUGUACCUGUCUUCUACUGUAAAAACGUAAAUAAAUCAUUUAAUAAUUUCGAUAAGAAAA